rnacentral:rRNA from 1 species
CGUGUAGGCGGAUCUGCAAGUCGAAUGUGAAAACCGGUGGCUUAACUGCCGGCCUGCAUUCGAAACUGGAGACCUUGAGUACGGGAGAGGAAAGCGGAAUUCCUGGUGUAGCGGUGAAAUGCGUAGAUAUCAGGAGGAACACCGGUGGCGAAGGCGGCUUUCUGGCCCGAUACUGACGCUGAGGCGCGAAGGCUAGGGGAGCAAACA